AGUGAACGCUGGCGGUAGGCCUAACACAUGCAAGUCGAACGGCAGCACAGUAAGAGCUUGCUCUUACGGGUGGCGAGUGGCGGACGGGUGAGGGAUACAUCGGAAUCUACUUUUUCGUGGGGGAUAACGUAGGGAAACUUACGCUAAUACCGCAUACGACCUACGGGUGAAGGCAGGGGAUCUUCGGACCUUGCGCGAUUGAAUGAGCCGAUGUCGGAUUAGCUAGUUGGCGGGGUAAAGGCCCACCAAGGCGACGAUCCGUAGCUGGUCUGAGAGGAUGAUCAGCCACACUGGAACUGAGACACGGUCCAGACUCCUACGGGAGGCAGCAGUGGGGAAUAUUGGACAAUGGGCGCAAGCCUGAUCCAGCCAUACCGCGUGGGUGAAGAAGGCCUUCGGGUUGCAAAGCCCUUUUGUUGGGAAAGAAAAGCAGCAGGUUAAUACCCCGCUGUUCUGACGGUACCCAAAGAAUAAGCACCGGCUAACUUCGUG
rnacentral:rRNA from 1 species